CCACCCCCACACAUCCAAUGGCAAUGGAUGUCCAGAGAGGACUGCCCAAUCAUCUUCCAGUUGUUGAUUCUGUGGAGGAAAAACAGCUGUUGAUGAAAGCAUUAACAGAGACAAUGAGUGUGCCCUCUGACCUGCAUCAGAUAAGUGGAUGUGCUUCAUACUUCUCACAGUCAGGAGUGGUGAACUUUGGGGUCAAGCUGGAGGGCUGUACCAAAUAGAGGGACAUCAGCAAUACCACAGGGCAGGAGAAUCCUAUCCAUCGAAUUAGCACUAACACAGAUCACUUACACAAGACUGUGAGUUCUCUAAAGAUCCAGAAAGCCAAGGUCCACGCUCUCUACAGAUGCUUGACUUCUAACAAAGCGGGACAAGAUUCACGAAACAUCCUUUUCCAUGUGACACAUGUUGUAAUGGCUGGACUUGCUCACCGGAUGGAAGCACUGGGGGGGUUGAAUUUCACAGCAUCGUACUGGACAUCCUCAUCCUCUUUCUGGGGUUGAGGCAGUUGGACAGUGGAGUACAGAGGCACUUCCUGGUUAUUGGAGCAAUAGAGGUGGACAUUGGCAUAGUGAACAUCACCCUGCUCGUCUGUGCUGCAGUGGGGCCAUUGUC